GAUGAACGCUGGCGGCGUGCCUAAUACAUGCAAGUCGAGCGAACAGACGAGGAGCUUGCUCCUCUGACGUUAGCGGCGGACGGGUGAGUAACACGUGGAUAACCUACUUAUAAGUCUGGGAUAACUUCGGGACACCGGCGCUAAUACCGGAUAAUAUAUUGAUCCGCAUGGUUCAAUAGUGAAAGACGGUUUUGCUGUCACUUCUCGAUGGAUCCGCGCCGCAUUAGCUAGUUGGUAAGGUAACGGCUUACCAAGGCAACGAUGCGUAGCCGACCUGAGAGGGUGAUCGGCCACACUAGAACUGAGACACGGUCCAGGGUCCUACGGGAGGCAGCAGUAGGGAAUCGUCCGCAAUGGGCGAAAGCCUUACGGAGCAACGCCGCGUGAGAGAUAAAGGUCUUCGGAUCGUAAAACUCUGUUAUGAGGGAAGAACAAAUGUGGAAGUAACUAUGCACGUCGUGACGGUACCUAAUCAGAAAGCCACGGCUAACUACGUG
rnacentral:rRNA from 1 species